UAGUAUUAAAGUAAUUCCAAGAGUCCCUUUGGUCGAGGCCGUUGCAUGCCACUUCCUCCAUGUCCCCCAGUGCCGCACUUGGUUUUCUUCUGGGGCUUUUCAUUCAUCCAAAGUUCCAUUCUUGAAUUGUUUCUAAUGUUCUCCCUUUCCACCUUUUCAAAGUUUUAAUUCUUUAGCGUUGUAAAUAGUUAGAUUCAAAGCAUUUACAGUCCAUUCUUGAUAUUUUGUUAUGCAAUGGAAUUAUUUACUUUGUGAAUGUCUAUUAAUGGUAUGGAAAUACUGGUAUAGAUGAAUUAUAAUUUGUGGGUGGCUCUCAUGAUCAAUUUUUGAGCAAGGGUUGGAGGGAGGUGAUUAGGCAUGAUAUGGAGCAGUUACAACUUAUGGUGAGCAUGAUAGGAAAGUGUGGAGGACUCAAAUUAGGAGGGUGGAGAGUUAGUGGAUAGGAGUGCAUUCGUAAUGGUAGGGAGGAGUGCUUUAUUUGUAUUUGUGCUUGGAGUUUCCUGUAGUUUCUUGUUUGUAUUGUUUGUAGUGUUUUGAUGAUGUUUGUGAUCUCGAACAAAUAAUUAAUAGUAUUACCAUGUCGGUAUCUUAUUUCUUUUAAUUUGUAGCGGUGUGUUAUCCUAUUUUGUUGUUUAUAUUUAUGUUGUUUGUUUGUUAUACUGUUAUCUGUCCUGAGCCAGGGGUCUAUAAAAAAUAACCUCUCUACUUCAUCCGAGGUAGUGGUAUGGACUGUGUACACUUUACCCUCCCCAGACCUCAUUUUAUGGGAAUACACUGGGUAUGCUGUUGCUGUUGUUGAUGUGUCUAGUUGCUAGCAGUUCCCUUUGGUGGGCAAUCUAUUAGACAGAGUAUGUUGAGUCCUGUGGGAUGUCAUGGGUAUCAGGGACAGAGCUAAGUAGGGUUGAGGGGGUUGAGCCAAAACCCCUUAGGUGGAAAAUUACAUUGUUUAUAUAUGAUUAAAAUUAUUUUUAUGUAUAUAUUGUAGAUGUUGAACCCCUUUUUGCUUCUUCCUGCGUUUUACUUAUUCAUAUUUUGAACCCCUUUAGUGAAAAUCUUGGCUUCGCUAUUGGUUUGGAUAGCCUAAAGCGCUGAACUUAUUUGGACCUAUAGCGCUCUCUAUAUAUAUAUGUGGGGUGGGGUGGGGUUUCUUACACGAUGGAGGAUUAUUUGAUUGAAUUGAAUUGGGAAAUUGCUAAAACUCUAACCAUGAUAAAUGAAAUCAUCGUUUGCCUUUUAUUGCAUCCAUGUCUUAGGGAUACAUGAGUAUGAGUAAUUUGUGCAGAUCCUUUAAAUCACACUGAAAACUUCCUAAAAGUUUUAAUGUACAUGUACAUGCACAUACUCCAUGCCGCAGACCCAAUUGGACAUAGUGCUUUCAUAUCUUCCUGCUCAAUUUAAUGUUCCAUUAGGAAAAAAAGGACAUGACAACUUUCGAUAGCAUAUGAAUUUGUUGUCACUUGUCAUGAACCAAACAACUGAAUGGUAUUGACAACGGGACAUCUUGCUUUUAAUAGUGUAAACCAAAUCGUGAAUACAUGGGACCUAGUUUCCCGAUAGCAAUGCGUUUACUUAAGUCGAAGACCUGUAGUCGAACCAAUGACUGCUAUUGAAGGAGCACUACGUGUCUGCCAUAAACUGUUACUGUGUGAAAUAACAGAGAAAAAUAUUAUUGAAUUGUUGCAUCUACAUUAUUACAUCGAAACCCUAUUUAUAGACACAACAUUCUAAUCCUUUUCCAAAUAGGAUGCUACAUUACAGUCCUUUUCCAAGUAAGAUUCUAUAUGCUAUUCCUAUUCCUACUCUUAUUAUAACAGUUACAUAAUGUAAAGAACCACUAAAUUAGUAUAGACACCUAUACUAAGUGAAAAAAAAAGGAGAAAUAUGACAAAUUAUGUACUGAAAACUGUAACAGAUACUACUCCCUUUGUUUCAUUUUAUGUAGCACUCUUUCAUUUUUAGCUGGUUCCAAAAGAGUAGUACCUUUCUAUAUAUGGAAUCUCUUUAACUCUAAAAUCCUAUAAUGAAAUGCUCUUAUCGCCACAUGGACAAUUAGGGCCAUAAGUUCUAAGGAUACUUUUCAUACCUGUCAAAAUUCUUCCCUUCUUUCUUAAAAUCAGUUCCUAGUCAAGCAUCACCACAUAAAAUGCAAAUGGGGAGUGAUUGAUUUUACAGUUGAAACCCCGGGUGGCAGUUAAGAGGUGCAAAUUGGAUCAAACCUCAGGUGCUGGCUCACGGUUCUUGACAGAAAAGAGAAUUAAGAAGACAUAGGCUUCUUGUACGGAAUUGUUCAUCUUGUACAUUAAGCAUACAAAAUUUGGACGGUUGGAUUUGUAUUACAUGAAAUUCUCAGCACAGGAAACUGAUGUAAUUGCUUCAGAAACAUAAUUGUACAAUGUAGAAGGCGCAAUGAAUCAGCUGCAACUCGAUUGGAUCUUUGUCAGUGUCACUUCAUCUCUUAGUCCAUCUGUCUCUUAUCUAUUAUGAGGCAGUUCUUUUUUGCAUUGUCAGGGCUGAUAAAUUAUUUCACUUUCUUCAUCCUUGUGUCGCAUUUCUUAAUGUGUUCAUGAACUUGCUGUCCCUGAUUUAGUCAUUGUAGAAUAGAGAGCAGGUGAGACGAUAAGGGCGGGAAUUUGUACUCGUGAUGACUUUAUGUUGGUGCAUUUGUGUUUCAAUUUUGUUGAAUUGCAGUUUUGGUA